AGAACUUUGAAUUCCAAAUUUGAUAAACAAUAUAAAGAAAAACAAAGGCAGUGGCAGAGAAACAGUAGAAAAAAAGGAAGAAAGAUAAAAAAGAAGUUGGGUUGAAUAAGGACUUAGAAUCGAACAAAAACAGCUCAAAAAUUCAAAUGAGAACAGAUCUGUGACUGUGUCAGAUUCCAGAUCUACAGUGAGAAAACCUGCACAAC
rnacentral:lncRNA from 1 species